rnacentral:rRNA from 1 species
GCAAGUCGAGCGCACCUUCGGGUGAGCGGCGGACGGGUGAGUAACGCGUAGGAAUCUACCCAGUAGUGGGGGACAACAGUCGGAAACGACUGCUAAUACCGCAUACGCCCUAAGGGGGAAAGGCCGGGAUCUUCGGACCGGUCACUAUUGGAUGAGCCUGCGUAGGAUUAGCUAGUUGGUGGGGUAAUGGCCUACCAAGGCGACGAUCCUUAGCUGGUCUGAGAGGAUGAUC